rnacentral:sRNA from 1 species
AACCCAACCGCAGGGUUCGCCCGCAGGUA